UCCGUUAUGGUGUAGUGGCUAACAUUAUCGCCUCUCACGAUUGACGACCUCAAUCUUGUAUCGCGAUAGCCCAGGGUUCGAUUCCCUGUAACGGAA